UCCCCCCACCUACAAAAUGAACAACAAAAUCUCCUGGGAUUGUUAAAUAUCAGCAAAUCGACGGCAUCUUUUUGUUGUUUUAUUUUUAUUCCCCCUCUCCCCCUCCCCGUCUCGUUUUGGAUUGUGAAUGGCUGGUGUAUAUUCACAACUUAAUGAGCUUUGGUCAUUGUGGCACCUACUUCAGUGGAAUUAGUGUCUCUCUUUGGGCUGAUUGGAGGACUGCUAUUUCACAUUGACUUGGAAAUUCCUGACAAUGCAUAGGAGCACUUUGAUUUUUUUUUUUUUUCCCCUGCUUUUUUCUCUUGCAAGGACAAAACGACUGCUGGCUGGUAUCUGGGAUACUGCCCUGGGAUGCAUCCAGAGCUCUGAGCAGACAUGGCACCCACGGGUGCUUGGAAAGGAGUAGGAUCCAACCAAUUCCUAAAGGAAAACAAAGUUGUGGCUACUUUCUGCUGACUAGGAAGUAAAAAUCAAUCUUUCUUGGGUUCUUUGAGGGUUGUUUUUUUUUUUUAAAGAUACUCUGUCAAGGUGGUGCUGGAGUCUUGCUACUGUAUGUGUUCGUUGUGCAGAACUCGUCAAGUAAUUUCCUUCAGUUAUUUCCUUAUUUCCCAAGAGGGAUUUUCCAGCUGCACUCGGUUCCUGGGCAUUUCAGUCCCAUCCCUGCUGCCAGGUGUGGCUGUUCCCUCUGGAUGUGCACUUGCUUGGAGGCUGGAAGAGUUAUUCCCACAGAAAUAGGAAAAUUGCUGCAGUUCUGUCAGCUUUUCCCUUUUGAAGGGGCUGUUUAUCCCAUUCCAGCAGAGACACUGGGAAAUCCUGGCUCCCACUGGGAGGUGGCUCUUCAUUGUGAUCCCUCCCUCCUUCCUGAGCAGAAUCUUUCUCUUUUUUUGUUGUUGAAACAGAGACCUGGAGAUGUCUGAUCCCCCAGGGCAGAGGUGUGAGGGUGUCUGAGAACAGAUCAGAAAUGGUACAAAAAGAAAUUCUUGCCUCUGCCACUGAGAGAGAUCCAGCCUGGAGCUCCUCAAAAAGAAAUUCUUACCCUGCCACUGAGUGAGAUCCACCCUGGAGCUCCUCAAAAAGAAAUUCUUACCUCUGCCACUGAGUGAGAUCCACCCUGGAGCUCUUAAAUAAAAAAAAUCCUUCCCCUGACUCUUUCUCCUACUGAGGAGCUCUGACUGAAGCAACUGCUGUUGAAUAUCCCCAAGAUUUAAUUUGUGGCUGUUUUCUGCUCUGAGGCUCUGGAAAUUAAAUCCAGGAAGUUUCAGUGAUGUUUAGGAAGGUUUUUUAAGGGAUGGUGAGCACCCUGUGCCACAGUGGCUCAUGUGAUGAGACACGAGCUGCAGCCACUCAGUGGCAUCUGACCAUUCCUCAGUUCAAUCCUCUUUUGUGAGAUCCCUGCUGCUGGCAGGACUCAGCAAAAUCAGGCUUUAAAUCAGCAUUUUCUUCACUGGUAAGGAGCUUCUUUUGGUCUGUUUUGUGCUUUUUGGGUGAGUACCCAAGGUGGAUGUGAAGAGAGAACAUCUUUCUCUCUAUCCACACACACAGUUCAUUUCUCACCCUGAAAACUGCUUCUUCAAAAUGUCCAUUUCAUUCUGAUUUUUCACUUCUUUCCUUUUUGCCACCUCUGUGUGCAAACACCUCCCUUUGUCACAGACUCCAGAUGUUUGUGGUAAUGGGAGACUCCAUUUCUCCUUCCACAGGGAGCCAGGAAUUUGGGAAACUCUGUCACUCAGCCCAUUUCUGGGCUCCUAAAUGAAUUCUCUUUACAAAAA